CACGUAGGGGGCGAGCGUUGUCCGGAUUCAUUGGGCGUAAAGAGCUCGUAGGCGGCUCAGUAAGUCGGGUGUGAAACCCUCAGGCUCAACCUGGGGACGCCACUCGAUACUGCUGUGGCUAGAGUCCAGUAGAGGAGUGUGGAAUUCCCGGUGUAGCGGUGAAAUGCGCAGAUAUCAGGAAGAACACCCGUGGCGAAGGCGGCUCUCUGGGACGGUACUGACGCUGAGACGCGAAAGCGUGGGGAGCGAACAGG
rnacentral:rRNA from 1 species